rnacentral:pre_miRNA from 13 species
UAACUCUUCAAGGGGGUUGUGAAAUGUUGCCAUUUUAUUCAACUCAUAUCACAGCCAUUUUGAUGAGUUUCG